rnacentral:rRNA from 1 species
CAGCAGCCGCGGUAACACCGAGGGUGCAAGCGUUAAUCGGAAUUACUGGGCGUAAAGCGCACGUAGGCGGCUUGGUAAGUUAGAGGUGAAAGCCCGGAGCUCAACUCCGGAAUUGCCUUUAAGACUGCCGAGCUAGCAGGUGAGAGAGGUAAGUGGAAUUCCGAGUGUAGAGGUGAAAUUCGUAGAUAUUCGGAAGAACACCAGUGGCGAAGGCGGCUUACUGGCUCAUACUGGACGCUGAGGUGCGAAAGCGUGGGGAGCAAACAGGAUUAGAUACCCGCGUAGUCCCUGUCUCUUAUAC